GUCUGUUUCUCCCUUGGUCUGGCUUAUUUGCAGAAACCAGUAAAACAUUUCAUGCAUCUCUCUUGGGCAUAGACCUAGACUCCACGGCUCUGGAAGGGUAAAGGGGCAGACACUGGUUCAUUUUGCAAUUCACAAAGAAUAGCUGGAGGCCUUCUGACAUUUGCUCGGGGUAAGGGUUGAAAGAGUGGUUUGGUGUUCCGAUUUUAAGCUGUGCCAUUGGCUAAGUGUAACUUGGAGUAGGCAAAUGGGGAAAAUUAACUACAGCAAUAGUCACGUUAGGAAUGCAGGCAAGGUCUACCUCUGAAAUGGUUCCUAGCGCUAGUGGGACUCCCUAUCUGAAAACCUGCGUUAAAUACAUUCUUUCUUUUUGGGGGAAUAUGUCUGAAUUCUUAAAAAUGGGUCAGAACUUAGUCACUGACUUGGUGUUUCAUCUUCAGCAAUUCCUUUGACUACUCAAUGCCUCAAUGUCCUUCUUUAUUACCGAGAGAAGUGAUUUUGCUUCUGUUUCAUACCAAAAAGAGUUUUAAACAUCUUUCGCUUUGGUCAGUCCUAUCACAUUGCUGCUGAUAGUGGAGGUAAAGACCAGACUCAGAUGAAUGUAAGAAUGUGAGAACAAUGAAUGCAUUUAUCAUGCACAAUGUUAGUAUAAGGUGCUGUACAAUGUUAGAAUGUGUUCUUAGUACUCCCUGUAGACUGAGUGGUUAUGAAGUCCCGCCGUGGUGUUCCAAAUUCUUCAGCUAGUUCCACUAACUACACUGGGCUACUGUUAUUUUGACCUCUCAUUUGCAUAUCUUCAAUUUCUCUAAAUACUCCUUUAACCCUUCCUUAUCAAUAGUUUAUUGACUGCAUCCUCCCAAUCAUUCUUACCUCUUAUCUUUAUUUUUCUCAUUUAAGCUAAUUUUUUAAAAGCAGUUUAAAAGCUCAGCUAAUUUAGUCAUUUCCCUUGCAACACCCUACUCCUUCAUUAAUGGACCUAGUUUCUCUUUUUCCACACUUUUCCCCCGGCACACACACACACACACACACACACACACACACACACAAAAGCAAACAUGUUUAUAAAAACACACCUUCUUCCCCUUAGUUACUUUGGCUGGCAUUAAAUCAUUCCGCCUUUUUUUUUUUUCUCUCCUGCCCCCAUAUUUUUCCUAAACACGUUAACUUGGCCUUGGUGUUCUUUCUCAUUCUCCUCCCCCUGUGUCUCCAUUUCUUGAACAACUUCAGGAGAGUGUUGCUCUUUUGAUUUUUUUCCCCACCCUAGCCCAGCUGAAAGCUCAGGGAACACUUCUUGCUUGCUAUUUUUUAUCCUGUUUUCAUGGGACCUGGAGUCUCAGCCCUGCAAUUAUAGCCUCUUUCAUGUUAUCUUUCUCCCAAGGCAGCAGCUCACAUCCUGGCAAGUGACACAAUGGCAGUGUGGGUCUUGACUUAGCUUUCAUACCUUUUGUUUCAGAAUGCAGGAUUUCCUUAUGGUUUGUUUGGGCUUUUAAAAAAGCUUAUUUACUGAUCCUGAGAGGUGCCAGAUUUACAACCCGGAAGAAUAAAGGCCAAGUUUCUAUGUGCCUGGAAAUACUCCAUCAUGUCCAGGCCACUGUGAUGUUUUGGGCCAACCUAGAGGCUGAUUUGAUGGCUGUGGGUUCUACCCUGUUGUCGCCAAAGAGGGGCUGCAAAAACAGUCCAGACCACAGCUCACUGUGCCUCGUGUUGCAAAGAGAGGACAGGGUGAGGAAUUCAGACCAGGAUAAUGUCUGAAAAUGGGGAGAACGCUGAUUACAUUUUAAAACUACAGUCUUGUUUAUACUCUGGUAGUCAACACUAAUCAUUUAUUUGUUUAAAUUAAGCUCCCUCGCCUUAAUUAAAAUUUGCAAUGUGAUUUUUAAAAAUUUAUCCAACUGUGUUUAAACCUCACAUUCCUAGAUUUUGUACCAAGGCCCUAUCUUUAUACAAUAAUUUCAAUACAAUACAGCAUUUUCCCAAACAAAUACUUAAAUGGAGACAUGAGGUCUUUUUAGGAGAGAGGAUAUGUGACCUUCAUGGUGGAAUCACAGACGGGGCCUUAAGCAUGAGGACGUUGUAGGUUUACUCAGUAAUCUCCAACCAACGGUGUCUGUUUUUUUUCCUUGAGGCCAAGGGUAACGUCGUUGCCUGAGAAGCACUGGAGGAGAGGCAGGAACACAGAUUUGUCGAGAGCACUUACAUGUGUGCACACACCGUAACAAAGGGCAGGCUUGUUGUACGGCCACAUCACGGAGCCAGGGGACGUGCCUCGGGAAGAUGAAAUAACGCUACAUCCUCUGCCUGAAGUGACGGUCUCAGCCAGCCCAUGAGCCUUGACAGCGCAUUGUUGGAGUUUGGAAUCAACUGCCGCCUUUUCAUGGAUAACUUCCUGAAUCUGCAGUUAAAAUUUCAUUUUUUUCUGGGUGCCCCGAGUAAAACACCCUCUGUUAAAGAUUUAUCACUUCCGCUGUAUUUCAGCUGCCUGUGGGCAUCCCUCAAUGCCCCAGUGCUGAACAGACUGUCACACCGAAGGUGCUCACGGGCCUGCCGGACGAUUGAAGUUGUACAACCUGCAGACAGAGGAGCUAAGUGUCCACACGGCCCUCCCUGCUCUUUCCAUUCUAUGUAGCUAUCUUGCUGGCACCAUUUACUCCUUUCUUUCUUUCUUUUUUUUUCUUUUCUUGAGACAGAGUCUCUAGCUGUCGCCAGGCUGGAGUGCAAUAAUGGCAUGAUCUCGGCUCACUGCAACCUCUGCCUCCCGGGUUCAAGUGAUUCUCCUGCCUCAGCCUCCCGAGUAGCUGGGAUUACAGGCAUGCGCUACCACGCCCAGCUAGUUUUUCUAUUUUUAGUAGAAACAGGGUUUCACUAUGUUCACCCGGAUGGUCUCGAUCUGUUGACCUCGUGACCCGCCUGCCUCAGCCUUCCAAAGUGCUGGGAUUACAGACGUGAGCCAUGGUGCCCAGCCACUCCUUUCUUACUCCUUUUUAGUCCAGUGAAAUCUAGCUAGCUUCUCCCUUACCCGUAAUUGUUUCAUUGUAACUUAUUCUUGCUGAGAUUACUAGAGCUAUAUUUAGACCUCCUA
rnacentral:lncRNA from 10 species